rnacentral:rRNA from 1 species
GUGGGGAAUAUUGGACAAUGGGCGAAAGCCUGAUCCAGCCAUGCCGCGUGUGUGAAGAAGGUCUUCGGAUUGUAAAGCACUUUAAGUUGGGAGGAAGGGCAUUAACCUAAUACGUUAGUGUUUUGACGUUACCGACAGAAUAAGCACCGGCUAACUUCGUGCCAGCAGCCGCGGUAAUACGAAGGGUGCAAGCGUUAAUCGGAAUUACUGGGCGUAAAGCGCGCGUAGGUGGUUCGUUAAGUUGGAUGUGAAAGCCCCGGGCUCAACCUGGGAACUGCAUCCAAAACUGGCGAGCUAGAGUACGGUAGAGGGUGGUGGAAUUUCCUGUGUAGCGGUGAAAUGCGUAGAUAUAGGAAGGAACACCAGUGGCGAAGGCGACCACCUGGACUGAUACUGACACUGAGGUGCGAAAGCGUGGGGAGCAAACAGGAUUAGAUACCCGGGUAGUCC